rnacentral:snoRNA from 1 species
AGCUUGAUGAUGAUUGUCUUCUGUGAUUGCUUGCUUAAAGCAAAGUGAUCAGUCAUUUCACCGACACUGAAAGCA